rnacentral:rRNA from 1 species
CGCGGCCUAUCAGCUUGUUGGUGAGGUAACGGCUCACCAAGGCAUCGACGGGUAGCUGGUCUGAGAGGACGAUCAGCCACACUGGGACUGAGACACGGCCCAGACUCCUGCGGGAGGCAGCAGUGGGGAAUCUUGCGCAAUGGGCGAAAGCCUGACGCAGCAACGCCGCGUGGGGGAUGAAGGCUCUCGGGUUGUAAACCCCUUUCAGCAGGGACGAAAUUGACGGUACCUGCAGAAGAAGCCCCGGCCAACUACGUGCCAGCCGCCGCGGUGACACGUAGGGGGCGAGCGUUGUCCGGAAUUAUUGGGCGUAAAGAGCUCGUAGGCGGUUUAGUAAGUCAGAUGUGAAAGGUUGGGGCUCAACCCUAAGACUGCGUCCGAUACUGCUAUGACUAGAGUCCGGUAGAGGAGUGUGGAACUCCUGGUGUAGCGGUGAAAUGCGCAGAUAUCAGGAGGAACACCGACGGCGAAGGCAGCACUCUGGGCCGGUACUGACGCUCAGGAGCGAAAGCGUGGGUAGCAAACAGGAUUAGAUACCCUGGUAGUCCACGCCGUAAACGUUGGGCACUAGGUGUGGGGCCUUAUCAACGGGUUCCGUGCCGUAGCUAACGCAUUAAGUGCCCCGCCUGGGGAGUACGG